GCUGGGCACAGUGGCAUAUGCCUGUAAUUCCAGUGACUAAGGAGGCUGAGGCAGGAGGUUUGCAAGUUUUGAAGCCAGCCUCAGCAACUUAGCAAGAUCCUGUUUCAA
rnacentral:sRNA from 1 species